UUCGUAGCUUGGUCGUUAAGUCUCUGGGGAAAUCUUUUGGCUCAACCGAGAGGCUUCUCAGGGAAACUGACGAUCUUGGAACCGGGAGAGGUAGGAGGUACUUCGGGGGUAGGAGUGAAAUCUUGUAAUCCCGGAGGGACCACCGAUGGCGAAGGCUUCUUACCGGAACGGCUUCGACAGUGAGGGACGAAAGCUGGGGGAGCAAACCGGAUUAGAUACCCGGGUAGUCCCAG
rnacentral:rRNA from 1 species